ACAGGUCACCAGACGGUCGCGGCUCUCAUUUCGAGGGCUGAGGAACGUCCGGGCUCCACAGAGCAGGGAUGGUGGGUAACACCCACCCGGGGCGACCCGCGGGCCAGUGCAACAGAAAGCAGACCGCCCAGUUCCGACUGGGUAAGGGUGAAACGGUGGUGUAAGAGACCACCAG
rnacentral:RNase_P_RNA from 1 species